rnacentral:rRNA from 1 species
UACGUAGGUGGCAAGCGUUGUCCGGAAUCACUGGGCGUAAAGCGCGCGCAGGCGGCGAUCUACGUCUGGGGUGAAAGCCCGGAGCUCAACUCCGGGACUGCCUUGGAUACGGGAUCGCUUGAGGAUUGGAGAGGCAAGGGGAAUUCCACGUGUAACGGUGAAAUGCGUAGAUAUGUGGAGGAACACCUGUGGCGAAGGCGCCUUGCUGGCCAAUUUCUGACGCUGAGGCGCGAAAGCGUGGGGAGCAAACAGG